UAAGGAAUAUUGGACAAUGGCCGCAAGGCUGAUCCAGCCAUGCCGCGUGCAGGAAGACGGACCUAUGGUUUGUAAACUGCUUUUGAACCAGAGAAAACCCCCUUACGUGUAAGGGGCUGAUAGUAUGGUUAGAAUAAGCAUCGGCUAACUUCGUGCCAGCAGCCGCGGUAAGACGAAGGAUGCAAGCGUUAUCCGGAUUCAUUGGGUUUAAAGGGAGCGUAGGCGGAUUUGUAAGUCAGUGGUGAAAUCUCUUCGCUUAACGAAGAAACUGCCAUUGAUACUGCAGAUCUUGAGUAAAGUUGCCGUUGGCGGAAUAUGACAUGUAGUGGUGAAAUACUUAGAUAUGUCAUAGAACACCGAUUGCGAAGGCAGAUAACGAAGCUGUAACUGACGCUGAGGCUCGAAAGUGCGGGGAUCAAACAGG
rnacentral:rRNA from 1 species